CGGGGGCUGGCGCAGUUUGGCAGCGCGCACGGUUCGGGACCGUGAGGCCCCGGGUUCAAAUCCCGGGGCCCCGACCA
rnacentral:tRNA from 1 species